rnacentral:rRNA from 1 species
ACCAGACUCCUACGGGAGGCAGCAGUGGGGAAUAUUGCACAAUGGGGGGAACCCUGAUGCAGCGACGCCGCGUGGGUGAAGGAGCACCUCGAUGCGUAAAGCCCUAUCGGCAGGGAAGAAACAGACGGUACCUGACUAAGAAGCCCCGGCUAACUACGUGCCAGCAGCCGCGGUAAUACGUAGGGGGCAAGCGUUAUCCGGAUUCACUGGGUGUAAAGGGAGCGUAGACGGCGACGCAAGUCUGGAGUGAAAGCCCGGGGCCCAACCCCGGGACUGCUCUGGAAACUGCGUCGCUGGAGUACGGGAGGGGCAGGCGGAAUUCCUGGUGUAGCGGUGAAAUGCGUAGAUAUCAGGAGGAACACCGGCGGCGAAGGCGGCCUGCUGGACCGUGACUGACGUUGAGGCUCGAGAGCGUGGGGAGCAAACAGGAUUAGAUACCCGUGUA